UAAAAUGACUCUAGCUAUUGUAAUAGCUAAACUCCAAAAUUUGAGUAGCUCAAGCAAGUAAGUUCCUUUCUUGCUUUUGCAAGGAGCCAAGAUGGUGUCCAGGCAGUUUUCCUCAUGGUGUGACUGAAGGACCCAGGGAUGUCCCAUCCUAGGAUGGCCAUCCCCGGGCUCACAGCCCUUCAACCUGACUGAUCAGGACCAAGUGAAAAGUGGAGGAAUCUUACCUGUUUAAUUAGCUUGGCCCAGAAGUGUCACUGAGUCAGAUUCCAGGGUUCAGAUAUGCAAAAGACCUCAGUGAAUGCUGCUGAAAGCUCUUGCCCUACUUUGAUCUAGUGUUGUCCUGCGUUUGGACCUGGAAGAAAUUCCUGGGAGUCAGACUGUUGAGUACAGAUGUCAGUCAUUCUCUUUGGUUCGGCUUUGCUUCGUGUCACCUGCCCAGGAUCCACUGAAGAGAAAUCACCUUGCGUUAUGUCAAAGUGACAUGUUUGUUGAACUGUAACGAUAAUAAUCCUCCCCAUUAACCUACCAGGAGCUGGAGGCAUUUUGUACUCAAGCAAUGACGAAUUUUUAUUUUCUCACUUAAUAAAAAAAAAAAAAAAUCUCCAUCUCAGUUUCCAAAAUGUAUAUCUGGGUGAUAAAUGAGAAAACAGGGAAGGCA